AGUUCAAGGAUACAUCUUACUAGUCUUAUAUUCUGUAUAUGCCUGAUGGAUAGUUUUGAUUGACUAGAUAUUCUUGCUUUUAGCUAAAUGUUUAACAGGCUUCGACUCUUGAAUCUUUAGUAUCCGGUGUUCUCAUAACUGUAUUUCCGCUUACAACUUGACGAAGAUAGGUGAGAUGCAUAUUUAGUUGCCAACGAUAACUAUUAGCUAUAUAAGGGUCUAGUAAUAAUAUUGCGUUACAUGCGCUAAUUAAUAUAUUACACAGGUAGCCCACUUUCAUAUAUGAUGUUGAGACGCGAGACCAUCGCUGAAGACGUCAGUGACUAUAUUUGUUUUAAUAAAAAUGUAUUUAUUGUUGAAAGACCAUGAACUCCGUAAAAAUCUAACUUAUGUCCGCUUUUCAAUAAUGGAAUCACUGGUAAUAGUUUUCUUUUCUACACUGCUCUUCCAUUCUUCAGAUGCUGGAACAUUCACUUGGCUACAUUCGGAUGAUACAGUGAAUGUUGUGGAAGGUGACACGGCAAAGCUCAACUGGAGUGUUCGUAUUAGUGCUGGUAAGACAUGGGUAGCCGUCAAGAUCUCAAGGGGCCUUAAAGAUGGUGCUGGUCCAGGAGACGUCGACAUGAUAUGAAGAAAGCCGUCUGGUGUAGAGCUACUGCUGCCCGAACGAGGUGCUGACAUGGACUUAGAUGUUCAAGCGAAUUUGAAUGUUCUUAAUAUUACUUUCUCGCUUCGUAAUCUAUCAAGGAAAGCUGACGAGAUGUAUUACAGAAUAACUGUGUACGACGAUGAUCCGGACAGUUCUGUAAAAAACACAAAGCUGAAUGUGGAUGUUCCUUCGUCGUGUGAAAUAUAUCCUGGUAAAAAUAUAACAGUUAAUGAAACAGACAACGUGUCACUAAACGUCACCACCACAGGAAACCCACCUGUUUAUGAGUACAUCUGGACUCAUCCUAAUGGAAGUAGACUGACCGCCAAUAGCACACUGAUAUUUACAGCCUCAAGACAAGAUACUGGGACAUACAAGGUUUCUGUGUAUAAUGGUGUUGGUGAUAGGAGUUAUUGCACACGUCAUGUCACUGUACAAUAUCCACCAGAUAGAAUCACGUGUAGUAACAAAACAGUUCUGGAGGGUGAUGAUGUCCAACUAGUUUGCAGUGCUAAUGGUAACCCACCACCUGAUAUGAUGUGGAUAAGAAAUGGAAAUAUUCAAGGCAUGGGGAGUACGUUACUAAUCAAAGGUGUAACAAAAAGCGAAGGUGGAACCUAUACUUUCUUCACCAACAACAGUCUUGGUUAUAAAUCAAUUGAAAUAUCCAUUACUGUGCAAAUAAGGAGUAAAUCACCAGAGAUAACAAAUCCGUACAAACAAGUAAUAUUGUUUAACGAGGGAAAAGACGUUAGUCUUGUUUGCAAUGCCAGUGGAUACCCAGUACCUAAUAUCACCUGGACGAAGCAUGGCACUGUCAUUGGUGUUGGACGAAUAUUCAAAACACGAGUAAAAAGGAACGAUUCAUCGUGUUACACGUGUACAGCAGAUAAUGGUAUUGGACACGCCAAGAAUGCCAGCAUAUGCUUAGAUGUGCAAUAUCCACCUUCAAACGUAAAAAUUACUCCAUCAAUUGCCAGUACAUUUUUAAAAGAGGGCGAUAAUCUUUCCCUGUAUUGUCAAGGUGACAGUAACCCAGAUCCCACAUACGCGUGGAGGCAUAGCGGAGAAUUGCUUACAAGUCAACAAAGCAGGUCAUUGAUUAUCAAGAACAUCAAUCAAAGACAAAAUGGAUUAUACCGAUGUGAAGCAAAAAAUCGCCUUGGGUUUGUUCUUUCAAAACCGAUUGAAGUCGUUGUACAAUACUUAGACCCUUUGGAAGUGAUUGGAUCAAGUAACAAGAGCUACAGUCAGUCCAAUCCACUGGUAUUGUUCAACCUUAGUAUCAACGCAUAUCCCAGUAACACAUCCCUGUCUUGCAGUCCUUCUGCACCGAAUAUAUUGACUACCAUCACCAGCCAUGAUGCAGGAUUAAAUGGAAAACAGUAUUUGGUAUUCGUUGUCAUCCAGAAUGAUGUGGACAAUGCUAGCAUUCUAUGUAAAGCUGAAAAUAGCGUUGGUGUACGAGAAAGGACAUUUUACAGACGACCGAUACUCUUAAAGGAAUCUUUUGCCGGCCAGUUUAGAUUAACAUACCCGAAAUGGCAGGAUAACCUUCAGGAUGUAAAGUCAGCAGGCUACAAUGAUCUUAAACAGAAGUGCAUCAAAAUAUUACAAGCUGCAUACUUAGGUGUACCAUAUUUGGCUGCCAUAAAAGUUAAGGAUUUCAUUAAGGGAAGCAUCAUAGUGCGGUUUGAGCUCGAAGUCAUCGGUCAAGUACCUGAUCCACUGCUGCCUUUGAGAGAGUAUAUUAAAACACAAGGAGAAGAGAUCAAUGGCUUACAGAUGGACUACAACAGCAUUCAGAAAUCAAGUGAACGACAUAUCACUUCAAGAGACAAGUUUUAAUGCUCCAGAUAACGAAACACCAAAUGUGCCAGAAUAUGAACCAAUAGGAAGGCGAGGAUUAUCGACGAGUAAUGUUGGUAUCCCAGAAUAUGAAGCUGUGACAACAAGAACACGACCACUUCAAC
rnacentral:misc_RNA from 1 species